AUGCUCACUUCCGCAGCAUAUAUUCUAAAACUGGAACGGUACAGAGAUUAGCAUGGCCCCUGCACAAGGAUGACAUGCACAUUCUUAAGAGGGAGGAAGUGAGU